rnacentral:rRNA from 1 species
AUGAAGACCUGUAUGAAUGGCACGACGAGGGCUUGACUGUCUCCUUUUUCUAGUCAGUGAAAUUGAUCUCCCCGUGCAGAAGCGGGGAUAAACCCAUAAGACGAGAAGACCCUGUGGAGCUUUAGACGAUGGAGCAGACCAUGUCAACACCCUCCCCUUAAGGAAAAGAACCAAUUGGACCCUGCUCUAAUGUU